UCUCUCACCCAGCAAAGCGCAAAAAGGAGGAUAAUGGCCCUCGCUCAACCCCACACUGGCCUGCCCAAUCUGUGAGCUACAUCCACCGCCUCACUCAUCCUUGCCACGAGCUCAGCCUGUUGAUGAGACAGAACAGAACACAACCUCUGCUCUGUGUGAUACAUAGGAGUUCUGGAUGAACGAGACUAUAACAUCUGGCAGAUGCGGCAGCACUAGGGUUGACACCAGAGAAGACACCAGUCCGGAUGAGC